AGUUAAUUAUAUUCGGUCAAAAA
rnacentral:snRNA from 1 species